rnacentral:rRNA from 1 species
GACGAACGCUGGCGGCGUGCCUAAUACAUGCAAGUCGAGCGGACAGACGGGAGCUUGCUCCCUGAUGUUAGCGGCGGACGGGUGAGUAACACGUGGGUAACCUGCCUGUAAGACUGGGAUAACUCCGGGAAACCGGGGCUAAUACCGGAUGGUUGUCUGAACCGCAUGGUUCAGACAUAAAAGGUGGCUUCGGCUACCACUUACAGAUGGACCCGCGGCGCAUUAGCUAGUUGGUGAGGUAACGGCUCACCAAGGCAACGAUGCGUAGCCGACCUGAGAGGGUGAUCGGCCACACUGGGACUGAGACACGGCCCAGACUCCUACGGGAGGCAGCAGUAGGGAAUCUUCCGCAAUGGACGAAAGUCUGACGGAGCAACGCCGCGUGAGUGCGGAAGGUUUUCGGAUCGUAAAGCUCUGUUGUUAGGGAAGAACAAGUGCCGUUCAAAUAGGGCGGCACCUUGACGGUACCUAACCAGAAAGCCACGGCUAACUACGUG